GAAGAAAGCGGGGGGCGUGCUUAACACAUGCAAGUCGAACGGAAAGGCCCUGCUUUUGUGGGGUGCUCGAGUGGCGAACGGGUGAGUAACACGUGAGUAACCUGCCCUUGACUUUGGGAUAACUUCAGGAAACUGGGGCUAAUACCGGAUAGGGGCUCCUGCUGCAUGGUGGGGGUUGGAAAGUUUCGGCGGUUGGGGAUGGACUCGCGGCUUAUCAGCUUGUUGGUGGGGUAGUGGCUUACCAAGGCUUUGACGGGUAGCCGGCCUGAGAGGGUGACCGGCCACAUUGGGACUGAGAUACGGCCCAGACUCCUACGGGAGGCAGCAGUGGGGAAUAUUGCACAAUGGGCGGAAGCCUGAUGCAGCAACGCCGCGUGCGGGAUGACGGCCUUCGGGUUGUAAACCGCUUUCGCCUGUGACGAAGCGUGAGUGACGGUAAUGGGUAAAGAAGCACCGGCUAACUACGUG
rnacentral:rRNA from 1 species